rnacentral:pre_miRNA from 1 species
GCCGCCGCCGCCUCGGGCUCGCUUGGUGCAGAUCGGGACCCGCCAAAACCCGCGCCGCCGGGGCCGGAUCCCGCCUUGCACCAAGUGAAUCGGAGCCGGCGUAGCGG